rnacentral:lncRNA from 1 species
GGGGCGUAACUCGUGGUAUCAUACCGGCAUACUGAACGGAUCUAAACAUGGUCUGACACUUUUGAAUGUUGAUUUUGAGUUUUGAUCUGUUUCGGUCUGACACGGUCUUAACGGAUCUAAACAGCUCGCUAGAAGAUACAGUCUUAAAUAUCUUGACAUGCCUUAACGGACUAAUUUACCUAAUGAGACUAUCGAUCCGAACGGAGACUUAACGAUCUGACAAGUCUUGACGUUUUCCUCUAGCGGUAAAUCCAGUCAAUUAAGAUACGAUCAGACCAAAAUG